ensembl:lncRNA
CAACCCACUGUCCCAUAAAACUUUUCGCACAAUUCUACUCUCAUCAAAAUGCAUUUUCCUUUUUUCCUUUUUUAUGAAUAUAUUCAUAAAACAACUUUACAGAUAUACAACAAUUCAGUUUACCUGUUCGACUUUUAACCCAUUUUUUUCCACCAUCCCUUCCUAAUGUCAUCUAUUCACAUAAAAGAAAAUACUUCCUUCUUUCUGCUGUACUUUCAUCACAAACUUUACAAAAAUAUUCCAUAUUACCAAUACCCCUUAAAACUCAUAAAUGUUACAUAUUAUUACCACACUCUAUUACUUAGACAACUAUUACCCAAGUUACUUAUGACAUAUCUCUAACCAUAUACUUUAUUUACACUGCCUUCCACCUAUCCAUAUGUUGUCUCUUAAAAAUAUGCCCAAAGCAUAGAUACAACACACCUACAAUUCAUUUUUGCUUUUCUCUAUACCCAUAAAUUUUUUUUUAACUAUUUUCUAUUUUUUUAUACACUACAGCUACUAUUAAGAAUUACUUCUAAUAACCAUUAAAACAUUGCAUGCACAAACAUUUUGCUAACAUCAAAUAACAUUGUUAUAACACAACACUUGCACAGAUACACUAUCCCCACCCUGCCCACAUUCUUCUUAACUCCACCCCUUACUGCUGACACCUACUUUAAAUACAAGGCACCAUUUCUCACCACUCAUACUUCUGAUGCAUCCUAAAGGCAACUAUGGAACAACAAGGUAACUUAAGAUAGCAAUACCAUAUUUCAUACAGCCUUUCUAACUUUACACAAAUUCUUCAUCUUAUAUUCACUAACCUUCUCUGUCUCUCUACAGAACAAACAUUAAUAACAUCAACAAUCAACAAAAGAACUUUCGACAGACCCCAAGGACUACAAGUCUGCUUGCUUACAGACUCAAUGUGCCGAGGUAUUGAGGACUACCUACCAGCUGCAAAAUGCUGGGUACAUCCAGGCACUACUCUUGAGAGAUCUACUAAACAACACAUAUACCACUUUGAGACAAUACGCAGCAAUGCAUUGGUACUACUCCACAUCGGAACAAAUGACAUUGCAAGUGGAGCACCCCCAUCACUGAUCAUCCAACGAAUGAAAGCACUAAUAACUUCAAUCUCUCAAGCAAGUCCUCACAUUCUGUAUUUUGCAAUUAGUGCUGUCUUGCCACGACUUACAGAUGACUCAACAAAAAAAACAACAGUGAAACAAUACAACACCAUGCUACAUCGCUGGACUACUCACACAGACAACAUUAUCUUUCUGAAGACAACAAAACCUUUCCUCAAACAUGGAAAAAUAGUCCACCACCUAUACAAACAAGAUGGCCUCCACCUGAAUCAACAAGGAAAACACAAACUUUUUACGUACUUUCAGCAAUUCCUUUGGCAUUUUUGCCACUUUCAAGCACAAACAAAACAAGUUUAGUAACCCAUUAAAUUAAGUCAUACUUGUUCUCAUUAAUGACCUUUACAUGUUGUCUCUUUCUGAAAUAAUAAAAUGCCAUUCACUUUAUUUGCAACCCUUUGACUUAUUCUUGCAUUACACAUUUCUACACACAUAACACCAGCACAUAAAUUCCUUUUCACUAUCACUUCAUCAAUUCCUUGCAAUUUCCUUUGCCAUUACAUGUCAAACACAUUUUGGGUAUACAAUGAUACUUCACAUACUAAACAUUUCCUGUUAAAACAUACAACCCUACACUACUUUAG